GAUGAACGCUAGCGGCAGGCCUAACACAUGCAAGUCGAGGGGUAGCAGGAUAAAGCUUGCUUUAUUGCUGACGACCGGCGCACGGGUGCGUAACGCGUAUGCAACCUACCUUAUACUGGGGUAUAGCCCGGAGAAAUUCGGAUUAAUCCCCCAUAGUAUUAUCGAUUCGCAUGUUUUGAUAAUUAAAGGUUACGGUAUAAGAUGGGCAUGCGUCCCAUUAGCUAGAUGGUGAGGUAACGGCUCACCAUGGCGACGAUGGGUAGGGGGCCUGAGAGGGUGGUCCCCCACACUGGUACUGAGACACGGACCAGACUCCUACGGGAGGCAGCAGUGAGGAAUAUUGGUCAAUGGGCGCAAGCCUGAACCAGCCAUGCCGCGUGCAGGAAGAAGGUCCUAUGGAUUGUAAACUGCUUUUAUUAGGGAAUAAACCUCUUUACGUGUAGAGAGCUGAAGGUACCUAAUGAAUAAGCACCGGCUAACUCCGUGCCAGCCGCCGCAGUAA
rnacentral:rRNA from 1 species